GGGAGCCUAACAUAGUGGUUUGAGCACUGGACUUUGACUCUAGAGGCCAGGGUUCGAAUCCCUACUCAGCCA